CGGUGAAUACGUUCCCGGACCUUGCACACACCGCCCGCCAAGCCAUGGAAGCUGGGUGUACCUAAAGUCGGUAACCGUAAGGAGCCGCCUAGGGUAAAACUAGUGACUGGGGCU
rnacentral:rRNA from 1 species